UACAGGGGGGGCAAGCGUUGUUCGGAAUUACUGGGCGUAAAGGGCCAGUAGGCGGCCAACUAAGUCCGACGUGAAAUCCCCAGGCUUAACCUGGGAACUGCGUCGGAUACUGGAUGGCUUGAAUUCGGGAGAGGGAUGCAGAAUUCCAGGUGUAGCGGUGAAAUGCGUAGAUAUCUGGAGGAAUACCGGUGGCGAAGGCGGCAUCCUGGACCGAGAUUGACGCUGAGGCGCGAAAGCGUGGGGAGCAAACAGGG
rnacentral:rRNA from 1 species